CCUACGGGUAGCUGCAGUGGGGAAUCUUGCGCAAUGGGCGAAAGCCUGACGCAGCGACGCCGCGUGAGGGAUGAAGGUCUUCGGAUCGUAAACCUCUGUCAGCAGGGAAGAACGGUCACUGUGCUAAUCAGCAGUGACUUGACGGUACCUGCAAAGGAAGCACCGGCUAACUCCGUGCCAGCAGCCGCGGUAAUACGGAGGGUGCGAGCGUUAAUCGGAAUUACUGGGCGUAAAGCGCUCGUAGGCGGUAUGUCAAGUCAAGGGUGAAAGCCACGCGCUAAACGUGGGAACUGCCUGUGAAACUGGCAAACUGGAGUGGGUGAGAGGAUAGUGGAAUUCCAGGUGGAGGAGUGAAAUCCGGAGAUAUUUGGAGGAACAUCAGGGGCGAAGGCGACUAUCUGGCACAUAACUGACGCUGAGGAGCGAAAGCGUGGGUAGCAAACAGGAUGAGAUACCCGAGUAGUC
rnacentral:rRNA from 1 species